UGCCAGCCUCCGCGGUACUACUGGUUGUGCAAGCGUUAUUCGGAAUCAUUGGGCGUAAAGGGCACGCAGGCGGUCUUAUCAGUCAGAUGUGAAAGCCCGGGGCUCAACCCCGGACGUGCAUUUGAAACAGUAAGACUUGAGUACGGGAGAGGAAAGCGGAAUUCCUGGUGUAGAGGUGAAAUUCGUAGAUAUCAGGAGGAACACCGGUGGCGAAGGCGGCUUUCUGGACCGAUACUGACGCUGAGGUGCGAAGGCGUGGGGAGCGAACAGGAUUAGAUA
rnacentral:rRNA from 1 species